CCCUUAGAUGUUCUGGGCUGCACGCGUGCUACACUGAUGCAUUCAGCAAGUAUACUUCCUUUGCCGAGAGGCCUGGGCAAUCUUGUAAACAUGCAUCGUGAUAGGGAUAGAUUUUUGCAAUUAUUAAUCUUUAACGAGGAAUUCCUAGUAAACGCAGAUCAUCAAUCUGCAUUGAUUACGUCCCUGCCCUUUGUACACACCGCCCGUCGCACCUACCGAUUGAAUGGUCCGGUGAAGCCUCGGGAUUAUGAACAAUGCCUUUGUUGGCAUUGUUUGUGAGAACUUGUCUAAACCUUNUNAUUUAGNGGAAGGUGAANUCGUANCA
rnacentral:rRNA from 1 species